UUAGUUGUAGCCGAGUGGUUAAGGUGAUGGACUAGAAAUCCAUUGGGGUCUCCCCAUGCAGGUUUGAAUCCUGCCAACUACCGAA